rnacentral:pre_miRNA from 1 species
UCUUAUAGAUGAGCAAAGAUAGUGGUUUCUUGAAAUGGAAUCUACUCCUGGUGAUGAUAUGUGAA